GACGAACCGUGCAAACGUUGUUCGGAUUCACUGGGCUUAAAGGGUGCGUAGGCGGACGGUCAAGUCAGGGGUGAAAUCCUCCCGCUUAACGGGAGAAGUGCCUUUGAUACUGGCCGUCUCGAGGGAGGUAGGGGCAUGUGGAACUUCCGGUGGAGCGGUGAGAUGCGUAGAUAUCGGAAGGAACGCCGGUGGCGAAAGCGACGUGCUGGAUCUCUUCUGACGCUGAGGCACGAAAGCCAGGGUAGCGAACGGG
rnacentral:rRNA from 1 species